AGCUAAUGCUUGUACAAAGGUAACAUAUAUUGCUGGUAACCCAAAAAAUAAAUAAAUAGCAGCGCACUCAGACUGACAGCCCCCAUCCCACCAGUGACUGCCCAUGUUUUACCCCCUCAUAUCAUCUAAAUGCCUCCACAUAGUUGUUGAUUUAUUUUGCAACUGUCUGGGGGGUUUUAAACGCUUGAUGCAUUCUUUUUUCGGUAACAUAUGGUAAUCAAGAUUAUGAAAAUAAUUGUUUAUUUCUGGCUGCUCAGAACCUACUUUUUUUACAAAUAAACAUAUAUUUGAUAGACCUCUGUGUCUGUCUGUUUUCCCC